UCAGAGCUUUGUCCAAGUCUUUUGAUGGA
rnacentral:piRNA from 1 species